rnacentral:rRNA from 1 species
AGCAGUAGCCGCGGUAAUACGUAGGUCCCGAGCGUUGUCCGGAUUUAUUGGGCGUAAAGCGAGCGCAGGCGGUUAGAUAAGUCUGAAGUUAAAGGCUGUGGCUUAACCAUAGUACGCUUUGGAAACUGUUUAACUUGAGUGCAAGAGGGGAGAGUGGAAUUCCAUGUGUAGCGGUGAAAUGCGUAGAUAUAUGGAGGAACACCGGUGGCGAAAGCGGCUCUCUGGUCUGUAACUGACGCUGAGGAGCGAAAGCGUGGGGAGCGAACAGGAUUAGAUACCCCCGUAGUCCCUGUCUCUUAUACA